rnacentral:rRNA from 1 species
AGCGGCGGACGGGUGAGUAACGCGUGGGAACGUGCCCUUUGGUACGGGAUAACUGAGGGAAACUUCAGCUAAUACCGUAUGUGCCCUACGGGGGAAAGAUUUAUCGCCAUUGGAGCGGCCCGCGUUGGAUUAGGUAGUUGGUGAGGUAAAGGCUCACCAAGCCUACGAUCCAUAGCUGGUCUGAGAGGAUGAUCAGCCACACUGGGACUGAGACACGGCCCAGACUCCUACGGGAGGCAGCAGUAGGGAAUCUUGCGCAAUGGGCGAAAGCCUGACGCAGCCAUGCCGCGUGAAUGAUGAAGGUCUUAGGAUUGUAAAAUUCUUUCACCGGGGAAGAUAAUGACGGUACCCGGAGAAGAAGCCCCGGCUAACUUCGUGCCAGCAGCCGCGGUAAUACGAAGGGGGCUAGCGUUGCUCGGAAUUACUGGGCGUAAAGGGCGCGUAGGCGGACAGUUUAGUCAGAGGUGAAAGCCCAGGGCUCAACCUUGGAAUUGCCUUUGAUACUGGCUGUCUUGAGUUCGGGAGAGGUGAGUGGAAUGCCGAGUGUAGAGGUGAAAUUCGUAGAUAUUCGGCGGAACACCAGUGGCGAAGGCGACUCACUGGCCCGAUACUGACGCUGAGGCGCGAA